rnacentral:rRNA from 1 species
AUACGGGAGGCAGCAGUGGGGAAUUGUUCGCAAUGGGCGCAAGCCUGACGACGCAACGCCGCGUGGAGGAUGAAGAUCUUCGGGUCGUAAACUCCUUUCGAUCGGGACGAAUUCUGCCGGGGUGAACAAUCCCGGCAGGUGACGGUACCGAGAGAAGAAGCCCCGGCUAACUCCGUGCCAGCAGCCGCGGUAAUACGGGGGGGGCAAGCGUUGUUCGGAAUUACUGGGCGUAAAGGGCUCGUAGGCGGCCAACUAAGUCGGACGUGAAAUCCCUCGGCUUAACCGGGGAACUGCGUCCGAUACUGGAUGGCUUGAGUUCGGGAGAGGGAUGCGGAAUUCCAGGUGUAGCGGUGAAAUGCGUAGAUAUCUGGAGGAACACCGGUGGCGAAGGCGGCAUCCUGGACCGACACUGACGCUGAGGAGCGAAAGCCAGGGGAGCAAACGGGAUUAGAUACCCCGGUAGUCC